UCCAGACCAAAUAAAAGUAAUUAUUUUCACUAAGUGUUUCUUAGAUUUAUGGUAGCUACAAAACCCAUCUCCUCUACGCACGUUUCAAACUGCUAUCAGUGAUAAUUACUCCCUCCCCUAUAAAUUUCAGGAUAAUCUUUAUUCUCUUUGUCUUCUGUGAGCUUUACCAAAAGAGGAAGAAACCAGAGAAACAGUAGGAGACUCAAAUCUUAUGAUCAUGCCCAUCCCUGCCUCAAUUUUUUAGAAAAUUCCUCAUUGUAUACAGAAUAAUACCACUAUGACUCUAGAAUUCUAGAUAUGACUGCAUCACCUUUUCCCAUUGUUCUAAUCAUAUUAUACCUUCUACUCUAAAAUAAAUUCCUUCACAUCUCCCUAUCAAGAAGUUUCUAACCAACUCUUUGCCACAGAUAUAUUCUCAGACCACCAGUUUCAUCUCUUCACUCUUCUUUUUUCACCUGAACUAUCUAAUAGUUCAACAGAUCUUUAUUCACUAAUUCCUCAUGUGCCCUGUUCAAGUUUAGGGCAUACUUCCUACAAAAGUCACCAACCUCUCUUCUAUGAAGCCAUUCUUGACUGGAUGACUAUGAAAUUACCUCUCCCCACUCACAAUUCCUUGGUAUAAUUCUACACUUUUAAUUUCUUUAGAAAAUAUGUCUUUCAUUCUUCCACCUAGCAUCUUUCUUGUAUAUCAGGUGGUUGUAUAAUUUACAAUCUUAUCUUUCAUCUACACUAUACAUGAUACAGUAGGAAUGAUAUCUCAUCAAAGUGUAUUUCACUAUUUUGAAACAGCCUGAUAAUCUCAACUAGUUAUAGAGCCACAGUAUAAGUUUUGAAUGUAAUAUAAUUUCAAAUGGAAGACUAAAUUAGAUAUGGUGUCUAGGUUUAGUUAUACCUAAAUCCAUAAUAGAGGCAUUUAAUCAGAUCUGACUCUAGAUUACCCUCUAGUCACAGCUCUAGCACUCUGUUCUCUUCCAGCAGUCUUACUACAAUCUCCCAGGACACUUCAAUUACUGCUUCCUUAAGUCUGGAAUGCCUCUUGUUGGCCCUCUCCUUUUUCAGGGCCAACAUUCUUUCACCUUCAGGACCUACUCACUUCCAUUCAUCCACUAGGAAUCAACAGAACAUCUCCCUUGACCAUUCAGCUCCAAGUUAGAUUUUUCUUAUGCAAUCUCAGAAUACACAUAUUGAUGAACUGCAUUGUAAUUGUCAGUUUACUCUUCUACCACUCUUGAACUGUAAACUCCUUGAGAUACAGACUCAAUUUUAUUCCUUUUUGUUUCUCCAAGAUUUGACAUUGUUAGAUACCCAAAAGACAAUUAGUGAAGGAGUGUCCACACUGUGACCUUGCGCAGGGUGCAUACUUGAGUUUCCCCAUCUAAAGUAAUUUCAUCCUGUAAAGUGGGGAUAAUGCUAUACCUAGCUCAUAAAGUUGUUAUAAGGAUUAAAUGAGGGAUCACAAAGCCUUAGUAUAACCGAAACCGGUUUGGCUCAUAUAACUACCAUUUGAAUACCUGUUAUUUCAUGCCUUACUUAUCCUAAUGUAUGUAUCCUGGGAAAUGUAAUGUUGUGACUAAUACUUUCAGAUUGAAAGGCUUAGGUAGCAGACAUUAAUCUAUAAGUCACUGGUUACAUUCUGGUCAUCAGUAUGUAUUAUGUAUCUAUUAUAUGAGGAGUUUUUACAAGGUAUCACUGAGCUCCCAGAAUAAAAUAGGGGCAAAUAAUAAGACAAAAACCUGUCUCAAUAUUUAAAAAGAAAGAAUUUUGUUUCAACAAUAUGGGUAUUUUUCAAACUAUGUAAGCUCUGCUUUAUAAUAGGGUAAGUUUCAAGAACAAUUACUGACAGAGAGAGUUCAAAAUUAAUUCCUAUCAUCAAGUGGACCGAUUAACAGGAGCCAGUUCUAAAAUUUCUUGCUGCUAUUCACAAUUUUUAUUUUGCUUAUUAGUAUUUCUCACAAAAGUAACAACCAUGACCUGGACAGAGACAAAUGACCUAUAUUUGUCUCAUUCAAAUGUGAAUUCCUCAGUAUUUCCUUAGUUGUUUUUUUUUUUUUUCAAUUAGUAUAUAAACUUGUGGCUCUGAAAAAAUGGCUUGAGUUUUUGUCUGUUUUCUACACUGAAUGGCAUAUUUUCUUAAGAGAGAAUAAAAUGCACUUCUUAUUCACACUGGCCCUCAUCAAGAAUUACAAAACUGCAAAUCAUGUCACCUAGUAUAAGAAGAGGCUGGGAACUUAAAACUACUUCCCCCUACCAAAUCCGGAGGUCAGAGUCCCAAUGAAGUUUGUGCAUUAUAUUUCAAUGCUUUUAGUAAGCUGCAAAGAGACCUCUAGCGCUGCCUUAAUAAAUCGAGUUUGCAAAUAGUGCCUGCUUAUGUCAACUGAAUGAGACAAUGGCAACAUGCUGUGUGUAGCAACGAACUGAGUUACCACAUGAAUGUUUACAGUUUUGUAACCACAUCGAAAUUCUACCUGCCUGGAGCAGGAGGCAUACACAAGGCCGUAUAAACCCAUGGAUUCAACUUCUUUCAGCAAAACAUGUCAAAGAAAUAAUCCUGAGUGUAGCCCCAUGACAAACAAGAAAUGCUAAGGAAACAGGUCCUGUAAACGGGGGGUCGAAACAAUGUCUCUUCUAAAGCCUCAGCACAAUGGAUGGCAAACUAUUGUCCACCUUCAGCUUGCUCCAGAGGCCGGCGGUAACGGGAGAAUGAGCUGGAACAGCUCAGCCAGCGCGACUGGUCCAGAGGACAGCUCUGGAAUAG